AAAUUGAAGAGUUUGAUCAUGGCUCAGAUUGAACGCUGGCGGCAGGCCUAACACAUGCAAGUCGAGCGGUAGCACAGAGAGCUUGCUCUCGGGUGACGAGCGGCGGACGGGUGAGUAAUGUCUGGGAAACUGCCUGAUGGAGGGGGAUAACUACUGGAAACGGUAGCUAAUACCGCAUAACGUCGCAAGACCAAAGAGGGGGACCUUCGGGCCUCUUGCCAUCAGAUGUGCCCAGAUGGGAUUAGCUAGUAGGUGGGGUAAUGGCUCACCUAGGCGACGAUCCCUAGCUGGUCUGAGAGGAUGACCAGCCACACUGGAACUGAGACACGGUCCAGACUCCUACGGGAGGCAGCAGUGGGGAAUAUUGCACAAUGGGCGCAAGCCUGAUGCAGCCAUGCCGCGUGUAUGAAGAAGGCCUUCGGGUUGUAAAGUACUUUCAGCGAGGAGGAAGGCGUUAAGGUUAAUAACCUUAGCGAUUGACGUUACUCGCAGAAGAAGCACCGGCUAACUCCGUGCCAGCAGCCGCGGUAAUACGGAGGGUGCAAGCGUUAAUCGGAAUUACUGGGCGUAAAGCGCACGCAGGCGGUCUGUCAAGUCGGAUGUGAAAUCCCCGGGCUCAACCUGGGAACUGCAUUCGAAACUGGCAGGCUAGAGUCUUGUAGAGGGGGGUAGAAUUCCAGGUGUAGCGGUGAAAUGCGUAGAGAUCUGGAGGAAUACCGGUGGCGAAGGCGGCCCCCUGGACAAAGACUGACGCUCAGGUGCGAAAGCGUGGGGAGCAAACAGGAUUAGAUACCCUGGUAGUCCACGCCGUAAACGAUGUCGACUUGGAGGUUGUUCCCUUGAGGAGUGGCUUCCGGAGCUAACGCGUUAAGUCGACCGCCUGGGGAGUACGGCCGCAAGGUUAAAACUCAAAUGAAUUGACGGGGGCCCGCACAAGCGGUGGAGCAUGUGGUUUAAUUCGAUGCAACGCGAAGAACCUUACCUACUCUUGACAUCCACGGAAUUUAGCAGAGAUGCUUUAGUGCCUUCGGGAACCGUGAGACAGGUGCUGCAUGGCUGUCGUCAGCUCGUGUUGUGAAAUGUUGGGUUAAGUCCCGCAACGAGCGCAACCCUUAUCCUUUGUUGCCAGCGGUUCGGCCGGGAACUCAAAGGAGACUGCCAGUGAUAAACUGGAGGAAGGUGGGGAUGACGUCAAGUCAUCAUGGCCCUUACGAGUAGGGCUACACACGUGCUACAAUGGCGUAUACAAAGAGAAGCGACCUCGCGAGAGCAAGCGGACCUCAUAAAGUACGUCGUAGUCCGGAUUGGAGUCUGCAACUCGACUCCAUGAAGUCGGAAUCGCUAGUAAUCGUAGAUCAGAAUGCUACGGUGAAUACGUUCCCGGGCCUUGUACACACCGCCCGUCACACCAUGGGAGUGGGUUGCAAAAGAAGUAGGUAGCUUAACCUUCGGGAGGGCGCUUACCACUUUGUGAUUCAUGACUGGGGUGAAGUCGUAACAAGGUAACCGUAGGGGAACCUGCGGUUGGAUCACCUCCUUACCUGAA
rnacentral:rRNA from 1 species